UGUUCCUAAUUGUAGAGGAGAUGCAUUCAGU
rnacentral:piRNA from 1 species